rnacentral:rRNA from 1 species
GACGAACGCUGGCGGCGUGCUUAACACAUGCAAGUCAAGCGAGUUGAUUCCCUUCGGGGAUGAAGCUAGCGGCGGACGGGUGAGUAACACGUGGGCAACCUGCCUUAUAGAGGGGGAUAGCCUUCCGAAAGGAAGAUUAAUACCGCAUAACAUCAGAUUAUCGCAUGGUAGACUGAUCAAAGGAGUAAUCCGCUAUAAGAUGGGCCCGCGUCGCAUUAGCUAGUUGGUGAGGUAACGGCUCACCAAGGCGACGAUGCGUAGCCGACCUGAGAGGGUGAUCGGCCACAUUGGGACUGAGACACGGCCCAGACUCCUACGGGAGGCAGCAGUGGGGAAUAUUGCACAAUGGGGGAAACCCUGAUGCAGCAACGCCGCGUGAGUGAUGAAGGCCUUCGGGUUGUAAAGCUCUUUGAUCAGGGACGAUAAUGACGGUACCUGAAGAACAAGCCACGGCCAACUACGUGCCAGCCGCCGCAGUAACAC